ACACAGGGAGGUAGUGACAAGAAAUAACAAUACAGGGCUACUUCUAGUCUUGUAAUUGGAAUGAGUACAACUUACAUCUCUUCACGAGGAUCAAUUGGAGGGCAAGUCUGGUGCCAGCAGCCGCGGUAAUUCCAGCUCCAAUAGCGUAUAUUAAAGUUGUUGCAGUUAAAAAGCUCGUAGUCGGAUUUCGGGGCGGGCCGGGCGGUCUGCCGAUGGGUAUGCACUGUUCGGCGCGUCCUUCUUUCCGGAGACCGCGCCUACUCUUAGCUGAGCGGGCGUGGGAGACGGAUCGUUUACUUUGAAAAAAUCAGAGUGUUUCAAGCAGGCAGCUCGCUCUUGCAUGGAUUAGCAUGGGGUAAUGAAAUAGGACUCUGGUGCUAUUUUGUUGGUUUCGAACACCGGAGUAAUGAUUAACAGGGACAGUCAGGGGCACUCGUAUUCCGUCGAGAGAGGUGAAAUUCUCAGACCAAUGGAAGACGAACCACUGCGAAAGCAUUUGCCAGGGAUGUUUUCACUGAUCAAGAACGAAAGUUAGGGGAUCGAAGACGAUCAGAUACCGUCGUAGUCUUAACCAUAAACCAUGCCGACUAGGGAUUGGAGGGUGUUCUAUUUGACCCCUUCAGCACCUUACGGGAAACUAAAGUCUUUGGGUUCCGGGGGGAGUAUGGUCGCAAGGCUGAAACUUAAAGGAAUUGACGGAAGGGCACCACCAGGAGUGGAGCCUGCGGCUUAAUUUGACUCAACACGGGGAAACUUACCAGGUCCAGACAUUGUUAGGAUUGACAGAUUGAGAGCUCUUUCUUGAUUCGAUGGGUGGUGGUGCAUGGCCGUUCUUAGUUGGUGGAGUGAUUUGUCUGGUUAAUUCCGUUAACGAACGAGACCUUAUC
rnacentral:rRNA from 1 species